rnacentral:misc_RNA from 1 species
CAGGAAGAGAUGAAAAUUCUAAGAGAGGUCCUCAGAAAAUCAAAAGAAGA